GACGAACGCUGGCGGCGUGCUUAACACAUGCGAGUCGAACGGAAAGGCCCUGCUUUUGUGGGGUGCUCGAGUGGCGAACGGGUGAGUAACACGUGAGUAACCUGCCCUUGACUUUGGGAUAACUUCAGGAAACUGGGGCUAAUACCGGAUAGGAGCUCCUGCUGCAUGGUGGAGGUUGGAAAGUUUCGGCGGUUGGGGAUGGACUCGCGGCUUAUCAGCUUGUUGGUGGGGUAGUGGCUUACCAAGGCUUUGACGGGUAGCCGGCCUGAGAGGGUGACCGGCCACAUUGGGACUGAGAUACGGCCCAGACUCCUACGGGAGGCAGCAGUGGGGAAUAUUGCACAAUGGGCGGAAGCCUGAUGCAGCAACGCCGCGUGCGGGAUGACGGCCUUCGGGUUGUAAACCGCUUUCGCCUGUGACGAAGCGUGAGUGACGGUAAUGGGUAAAGAAGCACCGGCUAACUACGUG
rnacentral:rRNA from 1 species